GUGAAUCAUCGAAUCUUUGGACGCAAAUUGCACUCUUUUCGGAGAGUAUGCCUGUUUGAGGGUCAGUAUUAAGAAAAUGGGUGUUGCUUUUUUGUGACGUUCCGGAGAUUGGGCUACCUGUAACUUUCGGGGUUAAGAGGCUUAAAAUUGGUCUUUUUUGCGCACUUUUAGACGUACAUAAAUUUUUUUAUUGUCUAUUCUGGUUGCAUAUUACUUAUUAGGUUCGAUCCAAUU
rnacentral:misc_RNA from 1 species